rnacentral:tRNA from 1 species
CCCCGGGUGGCUCAGAGGUUAAGGCAUCUGCCUGCAAUGCAGGAGACCUGGGUUCGAUCCUAGAACGGGAA